UCCAUCGGUUUCUCUCCUAGCGUAAAUCACGUGUUUUUCCUUCUUCUCCCAAAACACUUUCUUCAAUUUUGGAACUUAUUCACGAUAAUUUGAAGCAGGUUUUGGCUGCGUUGAUUUCAAUUCUUGGCGCUCAAACUCUCCAUUUAUUCAUUCAAUCUUCAAUUCAUACAAUCAAUGGAGAAUGAUCGUUCUGAUGUCGAUGGAAUCGUUGAUUUUCCAGAAAAAAUAGAAAACCGUGACGACGGAAUUGCUUUCUACGACGCUUACGCUCGUGCUUCUGGUUUCGACACACGGAAUUUUCAGCCGUUUGGUGUCGCCAAAAUAGAAGGCUAUUAAGUUGAAAAACAAAUAAUUGCGUAGGUGUAGGAACUGCGGGGAAUUGGACCUCCACGACUCCACGAAUUGCAAGUGGGUGGAUGAAGAAGAAUAGCCAAAUUGCUUGUUUAAAAUUGUUUUAUUGCUUGCCUCUGAUUCAUGAAUUGCAUAUCAAUGUUUUUGUUACCUUUUUAGGGGAAUUACUUUGUUAUUAUAUCUAAAUAUUGAUUUUUGAUACCA